rnacentral:rRNA from 1 species
GCAAGUCGAACGAAGUAGCAAUACUUAGUGGCAGACGGGUGAGUAACAUGUGGGUAUCUUCCCUUUGGUGAGGAAUAACACGAGGAAACUUGUGCUAAUACCUCAUAAGUCUUUACGGAGAAAGCUUUAUGCGCCAAUGGAUGAGCCCGCACUUGAUUAGUUUGUUGGUGGGGUAAUGGCCUACCAAGACUUUGAUCAAUAGCUGAUUUGAGAGGAUGAUCAGCCACAUUGGGACUGAGACACGGCCCAAACUCCUACGGGAGGCAGCAGUAAGGAAUCUUGCACAAUGGAGGAAACUCUGAUGCAGCGAUGCCGCGUGAGUGAAGAAGGCCUUUGGGUUGUAGAGCUCUUUCGUCGGGGAAGAAAAUGACUGUACCCGAAUAAGAAGGUCCGGCUAACUUCGUGCCAGCAGCCGCGGUAAUACGAAGGGACCUAGCGUAGUUCGGAAUUACUGGGCUUAAAGAGUUCGUAGGUUGUUAAAAAAGUUGGUGGUGAAAUCCCAGAGCUUAACUCUGGAACUGCCAUCAAAACUUUUUAGCUAGAGUAUGAUAGAGGAAAGCAGAAUUUCUAGUGUAGAGGUGAAAUUCGUAGAUAUUAGAAAGAAUACCAAUUGCGAAGGCAGCUUUCUGGAUCAUUACUGACACUGAGGAACGAAAGCAUGGGUAGCGAAGAGGAUUAGAUACCCUCGUAGUCCAUGCCGUAAACGAUGUGUGUUAGACGUUGGAAAUUUAUUUUCAGUGUCGCAGCGAAAGCAAUAAACACACCGCCUGGGGAGUACGACCGCAAGGUUAAAACUCAAAUGAAUUGACGGGGACCCGCACAAGUAGUGGAGCAUGUGGUUUAAUUCGAAGAUACGCGCAGAACCUUACCAACACUUGACCUGUUCGUCGCGACUUUAAGAGAUUAAAGUUUUCGGUUCGGCCGGACGAA